GAUGAACGCUGGCGGCGUGCCUAAUACAUGCAAGUCGAGCGAACAGACGAGGAGCUUGCUCCUCUGACGUUAGCGGCGGACGGGUGAGUAACACGUGGAUAACCUACCUAUAAGACUGGGAUAACUUCGGGAAACCGGAGCUAAUACCGGAUAAUAUAUUGAACCGCAUGGUUCAAUAGUGAAAGACGGUUUUGCUGUCACUUAUAGAUGGAUCCGCGCCGCAUUAGCUAGUUGGUAAGGUAACGGCUUACCAAGGCAACGAUGCGUAGCCGACCUGAGAGGGUGAUCGGCCACACUGGAACUGAGACACGGUCCAGACGCCUACGGGAGGCAGCAGUAGGGAAUCUUCCGCAAUGGGCGAAAGCCUGACGGAGCAACGCCGCGUGAGAGAUGAAGGUCUUCGGAUCGUAAAACUCUGUUAUUAGGGAAGAACAAAUGUGUAAGUAACUAUGCACGUCUUGACGGUACCUAAUCAGAAAGCCACGGCUAACUACGUG
rnacentral:rRNA from 1 species